AAGAUUGCUGGGAUUCUCAAAGUAACUUCUAUCUGGUUGUUUUCAAUACAUUUAAUGGUUGACAUCUUCGGUUCGUGCAUAGUCUACUACUAGCCCUCCUAUUUUUCUCAUGAUCUGCUCUGUUUAUUAUGUCUCUUGUUACACUUCCUUGAAUUUUUUUAGGUAUUGUAAACUAAGAUAGUCUACUAGCCCUUCUAUUUUUCUCAUGAUCUGCUCUAUUUGUUCUGUCUCUUGUUAGACUUCCUUUAAUUGUUUAGGUAUUGUAAACUAAGAUGGGGUUUGCUUCUGUAAGUCUCUGUUAUAUUGAUAUAUUUAAAGGCAUGUUGUGAUCUAAGAACUUUAUUAUCAAUGGUGACAAGCUUAGCUUGAAAUUACAAGGAUCUUUAUUGAUUGUGUAGCCAUUUCCUAAGAAAGUAAGAACCUUAAUGGUUUUUUUACCCCAGUUUAGUUGUUCAAAUGUGUUCAUCACAUUUAGCAUCUGGAAGGCAUGAUUACCAGUUGUUAAAGACUUCUUUAUAGGCAACCUUUAGAAGAAACAAGCUUAGGCAGAAUAUAUUGCAUCUGCUAUUGCAAAGUAAUUUGCAUAACUUGGUAGGUGUAUAUAUUUUGGGUCUCAUGUGGGAAGGAAAAUAAGUGAAAAAAGCAAAUGAUCACCUAGAGUUGCUUCUGAAUGUUUUCUUUUUUUCCAUUAAAUUUUAUUGAAAAAACUUCCUCUUCAGCUGCAUUUUUUUCUCUAUAUGACUCCUAUAUCCUUUAGGUGAUGUUGCUUCAAUUCCUCGUGGUUGAGGGUGACGAUGACCAAAGCGUGCAGUGCAGCAGCCUGGCAGGCGACAGCAUUAAGACCACAAGCAUAGCUUUAGAGACAGUUCUCAUCGAACGACGAUGAGCACAGCUGAUGUAAAGACGCCAAGGGCAUGUUUUGGAUGAUUCGGUGCCUCUCGUUCAUGGCAACGAGGAUCAGAUCAGCUGCCAAGAGAUGUAUUUCGCGAAUCUGCAGUUGUUGGUGCAGAGUCAGCUGUUGAAUCUCCGGCUCCACCAGACGAUAGAAGCUGCGGAGCAGGGCUGUGAAGCAAUCAAGCGUUGCAGUUGACAAGAAAAAAUCCCAGAGGUGGCUGGGUGCAUUGUUCCUACUUCAUAGGCGAAGUACAUGAGCUCCAUCGUUUAUUUUGCUGCGGAUAACACUGACAUGUUUGGGGCAUCAAGGGUGUUAAACCCAAUCUGGUCAUCUGACCGAUCGAUCAAUGAAAUUGUAUUAUUGUAGUUGUAAGAUCGAUUCGCUAAGUGAGCCUUGGCGAUAUUUUUGUACGGAGCACCUCGGUUCCCUAUCGUCGAUGUUCUGAAAUAUAGUGCUACAAACUACUCCUAACUACCUAUGUAGAGAUCCAUGCUACGUCGCUUGACGUAUAUGCAGUGUAUGCUCUAUGCAAGACUUUUUUUGUUUUUAUUUUGUUUUUAGCUUCAUGCAUGCUUGGUGGCGGUUUGAAAAUGACUGGUCGCGCUUGCUGCACUAUGCGAUUGUGUUAGAACUUCAAUAUUAAGGUCCUCGAACUUUCCUUGGAAAAUAGUUAUAUGAGCUACUAUUUUGCUUUUUUUCCUUGGCGUUGAAAUUGUCAUAUCUUAAUGCAGCACCUCGAUGGAAUGGUGUUUCUACAAUUAUACCAAAGCUGUUAAAUUUCAAGGUAAUUUUUAAUACUAAAAUAAGAUAA